UUUUUUUUAAUCAUGUGAAGAGAUGUUUACAAAUGAGAAACAUAAUAUAUUAGAGUGAGGCUAAAGGAAACUGGUUUGCAGGCGUCUGUGUUAAUGUAGCUGAAUUCCAAUGCUGUACAUUCAGCAACUUUCCACGGAAGCCCUUUCUUUAGAUGUGUUUUCUUUCCUUCAGAAACAACCUGCCUUAUCGAGUCCAGCCCUUGGCAGAAGUAGGGAUGUAAGAGAUGCUUCUCCAAACUUGUCAUACGGACCUGAAUGUAUUCCAGUAUUUCUGGUUUUGCCAGAAGGACUUAAGGUUGACCCGGGGUUUGAGUUUGGUGUAGAGGUUCCAGGUGCUGAGACUACUGGGAUGCGCUGGCGCCGCGCGGGGCGGCCGUGCGCCUUGCCCUAGAGCUGGGCCUUACAGCACACGGUGGCGGCCUGGCCUUGCCCUGCCCGGCCACGCUGCCUCCCCGUGCCCAGGCCGGGGCAGUGGGCAAAGCCGGUUCGAAACGGAAAACCGAGCUCAAAACUGCAGCUCGCGGCUGGGAAUUCCUGGGAAGGAGGCCCCGGGCUGGGCAACUGCAGUCUUUGACGACUAGAGCAUUCCUGCUAUUCCAUUUUGACUUUAAGCCUCGCCCUCAAGGCCCUUCUUAUGAAUGUAUUACAUUGGCCAGCAUUAUAUUUUGCCUAGAGAUGUUAUUGUCUAUUCACAGGUUGAAUUUGAAUGUAAACUUAAGAUUUAAAGAAUCAUAUUCAGAUGCUUUUUUUGCUUAACUUAUGUAAUUGCCUUUUUUU